AUACCUUUCUCGGCCUUUUGGCUAAGAUCAAGUCUAGUAUUUGUUCUUAUCAGUUUAAUAUCUGAUACGUGGGCCAAUGGCUCACACGAUAUUAAAUUAUUUUUUUAAGGGGGAGGGUCCACGACAGGCACACCCCACCCAAUUCUAGUUCAAGUUUGGUUUUAAAAUUACAGUGCCUUUGUUUAAAAGUUUAG